rnacentral:rRNA from 1 species
GUACGGGAGGCAGCGGUGGGGAAUAUUGCACAAUGGGCGCAAGCCUGAUGCAGCCAUGCCGCGUGUAUGAAGAAGGCCUUCGGGUUGUAAAGUACUUUCAGUCGUGAGGAAGGUGUUAAGGUUAAUAACCUUAGCAAUUGACGUUAGCGACAGAAGAAGCACCGGCUAACUCCGUGCCAGCAGCCGCGGUAAUACGGAGGGUGCGAGCGUUAAUCGGAAUUACUGGGCGUAAAGGGCACGCAGGCGGUUAAUUAAGUUGGAUGUGAAAUCCCCGGGCUUAACCUGGGAAUGGCAUUCAAGACUGGUUAGCUAGAGUCUUGUAGAGGGGGUAGAAUUCCAUGUGUAGCGGUGAAAUGCGUAGAGAUGUGGAGGAAUACCGGUGGCGAAGGCGGCCCCUGGACAAAGACUGACGCUCAUGUGCGAAAGCGUGGGGAGCAAACAGGGAUUAGAUA